UACGUAGGGGGCGAGCGUUGUCCGGAGUUACUGGGCGUAAAGGGCAUGCAGGCGGUCCGACACGUUUUGUGGGACAGCGGGUGGCUUAACUACCCGAGGAUACGAAAGACGGUUGGACUUGAGGACUCGAGAGGGACACGGAAUUCCGGGUGGAGUGGUGAAAUGCGUAGAGAUCCGGAGGAACACCGAAGGCGAAGGCAGUGUCCUGGCGAGUGACUGACGCUGAGGUGCGAAAGCCAGGGGAGCGAACGGG
rnacentral:rRNA from 1 species